rnacentral:rRNA from 1 species
GACGAACGCUGGCGGCGUGCCUAACACAUGCAAGUCGAACGGAGAUACGAUUUCGGUUGUAUCUUAGUGGCGAACGGGUGAGUAACGCGUGAACAACCUGACUCUUAGAGGGGGAUAACACUCGGAAACGGGUGCUAAUACCGCAUAAGACCACGACCCGGCAUCGGGAUGAGGUCAAAGGAGCAAUCCGCUGAGAGAGGGGUUCGCGUCGCAUUAGAUAGAUGGCGGGGUAACGGCCCACCAUGUCAACGAUGGGUAGCCGAGCUGCAGAGGCUGAUCGGCCACACUGGAACUGAGACACGGUCCAGACUCCUACGGGAGGCAGCAGUGGGGAAUAUUGGGCAAUGGGCGCAAGCCUGACCCAGCAACGCCGCGUGAGGGAAGAAGGCUUUCGGGUUGUAAACCUCUGUCCUUGGUGACGAAACAAAUGACGGUAGCCAAGGAGGAAGCCCCGGCUAACUACGUGCCAGCAGCCGCCGUAA